rnacentral:rRNA from 1 species
AGAGUUUGAUCAUGGCUCAGAUUGAACGCUGGCGGCAUGCCUUACACAUGCAAGUCGAACGGCAGCACGGGGGCAACCCUGGUGGCGAGUGGCGGACGGGUGAGGAAUGCAUCGGAAUCUGCCCAGUCGUGGGGGAUAACGUAGGGAAACUUACGCUAAUACCGCAUACGACCUGAGGGUGAAAGUGGGGGACCGCAAGGCCUCACGCGAUUGGAGGAGCCGAUGCCGGAUUAGCUAGUUGGCGGGGUAAGAGCCCACCAAGGCGACGAUCCGUAGCUGGUCUGAGAGGAUGAUCAGCCACACUGGAACUGAGACACGGUCCAGACUCCUACGGGAGGCAGCAGUGGGGAAUAUUGGACAAUGGGCGCAAGCCUGAUCCAGCAAUGCCGCGUGGGUGAAGAAGGCCUUCGGGUUGUAAAGCCCUUUUGUACGGGAAGAAAAGCUCCGGGCUAAUACUCUGGGGUCAUGACGGUACCGUAAGAAUAAGCACCGGCUAACUUCGUGCCAGCAGCCGCGGUAAUAC